rnacentral:rRNA from 1 species
UACGAAGGGGGCUAGCGUUGUUCGGAAUUACUGGGCGUAAAGCGUAUGCAGGCGGAUCGUUAAGUCGGGGGUGAAAUCCCGAGGCUCAACCUCGGAACUGCCUUCGAUACUGGCGAUCUUGAGUCCGGGAGAGGUGAGUGGAACUGCGAGUGUAGAGGUGAAAUUCGUAGAUAUUCGCAAGAACACCAGUGGCGAAGGCGGCUCACUGGCCCGGUACUGACGCUGAGGGACGAAAGCUAGGGGAGCGAAUGGG